UACGGAAGGUGCAAGCGUUAAUCGGAAUCACUGGGCGUAAAGCGCUCGUAGGUGGCUUUGUAAGUCAGGUGUGAAAGCCCACGGCUCAACCGUGGAAUUGCACUUGAUACUGCAUUGCUUGAGUUCGGGAGGGGUAGGUGGAAUUCCAGGUGUAGGAGUGAAAUACCGUACGAGAUCUGGAGGGAACACCACGUGGCGAAGGCGGACUACCUGGACCGAUACUGACACUGAGGAGCGAAAGACGUGGGGAGGCAAACAGGAUUAGAUACCCGCGUAGU
rnacentral:rRNA from 1 species